rnacentral:rRNA from 1 species
UACGAAGGGGGCUAGCGUUGUUCGGAAUCACUGGGCGUAAAGGGUGCGCAGGCGGGCGUUUAAGUCAGGGGUGAAAUCUCGGGGCUCAACCUCGGAACGGCCUUUGAUACUGGAUGUCUUGAGUCCGGAAGAGGUGAGUGGAACUGCGAAUGUAGAGGUGAAAUUCGUAGAUAUUCGCAAGAACACCGGUGGCGAAGGCGGCUCACUGGUCCGGAACUGACGCUGAGGCACGACAGCGUGGGGAGCAAACAGG